CAAGGAAUCUUCCGCAAUGGGCGCAAGCCUGACGGAGCAACGCCGCGUGGAGGACGACGGCUUUCGGGUUGUAAACUCCUUUUCCCAGGGACGAAACGGACGGUACCUGGGGAAUCAGCCCCGGCUAACUCUGUGCCAGCAGCCGCGGUAAGACAGAGGGGGCAAGCGUUGUCCGGAUUUACUGGGCGUACAGCGCGCGCAGGCGGUCGUGUAGGUACCUGGUGACAGUCUCGGGCUCAACUCGAGGGGGUCUGGGUAGACCGCACGACUGGAGGCAGGGAGAGGGAUGUGGAAUACCCGGUGGAGCGGUGAAAUGCGUAGAGAUCGGGUGGAACACCAGUGGCGAAGGCGGCAUCCUGGCCCUGACCUGACGCUGAGGCGCGAGAGCGUGGGGAGCAAACGG
rnacentral:rRNA from 1 species